rnacentral:rRNA from 1 species
UACGAAGGGGGCUAGCGUUGCUCGGAUUGACUGGGCGUAAAGGGCGCGUAGGCGGUUUGCAUUGUCAGACGUGAAAUUCCUGGGCUUAACCUGGGGGCUGCGUUUGAUACAUGCAGGCUUGAGUUCGGAAGAGGGUCGUGGAAUUCCCAGUGUAGAGGUGAAAUUCGUAGAUAUUGGGAAGAACACCGGUGGCGAAGGCGGCGACCUGGUCCGAUACUGACGCUGAGGCGCGAAAGCGUGGGGAGCAAACAGG